UCCACCAUCCGAAGUUAUUCCUUCUUUCAGCCUAACCCAAAUAUUGCUCCAUAUCAUCGCCUCCCUCUCGAUUCUCCUUGCCGGCCCAAGCACCUCCUAAACCCUUAACUGCCCCCUGCCUCGUCUGUUUUCCAUUCCCUUCCAUUAUUGUUGUCGUAACCCACACGUGCCCUUCUUUGUUGAUAUCGCAAAACACCCAACCAUAUGCUAUCAUUUUCAUAAACACGACCCUUGACUAAUCUCUCAAGAAUCUCAAACUUGUAAGCAUAAAAAGGUCUAAUUAUUUGGAAGCAUUGGAACUCUCUGCAUUAAACACCCAACUACUUCAUCAAACUUUUUUUUGGUGAAUUCCUUAUCACUUCCAAUUCGUGCUUUUUUUUUUUUCUAAGUUCGUUCUGAUUUUCGCUGCCCUAUUGACUUUUUUACUCAAAUGUCUUCCUGGGUUUUUAUGAUUUUCCUUUACCAAGCUAUUAAAAUUUAUCUGUUGAUCAACUGAAAUUAGACUCUCUCUCUCGUUCUCUCUCUCUUUCUCUGUGUAAUGGUGCUUGGUUUAGGUAAUUGAAUCAUAAUUAUAUGGCCCCACUGCUUAAUAUCUGCAAAUUUUAAUAUGGGUUCAUAUAUAAAAUUGAUUAAAGUUGGCUAGCUUUCUAUUCUUUGCAUCUGGUUAUGUUCUUAAUUCUAUUGAUUAAGCUUUGUCUGUCCAAAUUCCUAUCUGGGUAUUGCUUAAUUUCCUUAAAUAUCACAGGUCAUAAGCUGGAUUUGCUUUAUAACGGAGAUGUGCCUUUCUUUUGAAUGUUGCUGAAUUGUGUAUGCAUUUUUUGAUUAAUUGAGGCUUUGAGUCGUAGAGUGAGAUUCGGCUUUUUAAUUUGAAGUAUGCUAGUUUAGAUGAUUUGUUUAUUUUCUUUCUUGUAUAGUUAUAAUUAAGUUUGGCUGAAUUAAAUGGAAGAACUUGCUUUGAUUUUCUGUUGAUAGAAUUGAAAGAGCUACCUACUUGACAAUUUAGGAUUAUACAAUAAACCGAACCGAAACUCAACUCGGUUCGGUUCAAUCCCCUUAAAUCAUGAUUUUUGUCCCAGUGUUCAUUUCUGUAAACUCUAAAUUAACAUGCAUGCCAAAUGUAAACACUAUAUAUAUAUAUAUAUUUGUUUAAAGAGUAAACACUAGAACUUUUAUGCAACAGCGGGGUCAAAGUGAUUAAUUACAAUCAGCUCUGUAAUUAAUUACAACUACCACAUGAACAACAAAUUCAAUAAACUUUAAAUGAAUAAUAACAGCUACCAAGUCAAAUUACUAUAGCUUUCUUUUCCAUUAACUCUAUUAUUAAUGGUCAACCUUUUAAAUUUUGAAAAUUUUUUACAUGCUUCAAAGAACAAAAAUUGCAGAUUGAGAAGUGAGAGUAAUUACGGAUAGUUAAUGUGUCAGUUUGUAAUAGGUAGGAAAUUUACACCCCCUCUCUUCCCCCCCCCCCCCCCCCCUUUUAUUUCCUUACAUAUUCUUUCUUCUAACAGUAUAUUGAAGUUGAUAUUGUAGAGACAUUGACUUCCCUUGUGUGUGCAAUUGUGUUUUUUGUUCAAUGAUUAACACCUUUGAGGUUAAUUUUCGUAUAGAAGAGUUGAAGCAGGGCAGGACCUGUGAUAUUUGAAGAGAAAAAAGAGGGCAUUGUUUAACUACUUAAACUCUUGUAAGCGCAAGAAUAAUUAAUUUUCCUUUUCACUUGACCGAGUAAUUUCGGGCCUUGCGAGAAACCAUUUAAAUGUCUUUCUCCAAGUGAAUGCCAGUGGAGAAGCAUGUGAGUAAACUAAUUAAUCUUUACCUACUCGUGAUAAUUUUGUUGGUAGUUUUAGUUUAGAUGCCUAUGGUGUCAAUAGCAUUUGAAUUGCUCAAAUUAUUGUAUUCUCUGUUUGACACUUUGAUCAAUUUACCCCCAAAAUACAUCAUUCAGAAGUCUACAAAAAUGGUCUUCUUAAUUCAAACCUGAGCAGGUUAUGUUACAACUACCAAAACAACAGGUUAACUGUUUUUGUCAUUUUAUUGUUGGAUUAAUCAAUGAAACUUAAACUCUCUUUAUCAGAGAAUGGCAUGUAACAACCCCAUUGUUUAUCAUCUAUCUAUCUUUCUUAUAUUUAUUUAAAACUUAUAUCAAGCUAUUUGGAAUCUGGAUUAUUGGCGUGUGCAAAAUACCUUUACUUUUUAAAUAAUUGUCUUAACUAUGAGCAUAGCCAUUUGAUGUUCUAAGAAGAAUGCUAUGAGCACAUAUAUUAUAUAAGUUUUUGCCAAGUGUUAAUUUUUUAUUGCUUAAUUGCAUUGACUUCCUACCUGCGCAAGAUAAACCUAUGGCAGUGUAUCAACACUAGAAUUGUAACAUCUGCAGCUAAUAGAUUAUUUUCUUUCUAUCUCUUGAUGUUUGUUGGUGCUCAGUAUAAGAGGAAACCAAAGCAAACUUUAUUGUUACAAGGCAAAAAAAAAAAAAAGUCAACACAAGCAACUUCGUGACUGAAGAACCUGGGCAACACUAUUGGGGCUUUCUAGUCAGUAUUUGACUUGGUGAAGAGUUCAAUUGCUUGUGUUCUACAUAUUAAUCCAUAUAAUAAAAGAGAUGCGUAGGAGCAUUGAAUAUAGUAUGUCAAGGCUUGUCAAGGCUCUGGAGUCUGGAAGAUAUCACAGAAAAUCUUUGAAAUAUAAGCACGGAAAAUCAUGUGACAAAAUAGUGUAAAUUUCUAUAAAUGUAAAGGGUAUUCUUGUCAAGAUACUGGGUUUUUCAUAUGUCAGCACAUGCAAGGGCAACGUAGAGAAAGAACUGUGAAUUGGGCAAUUUCUUAAAAUACUGUGUGCACUGAGCACUGGAAAAAAACAGUAUCAAGUACCAACCAAUUUUAGUGUGUGUAUAUAUAUACACUUUUAUGCACAUUGAUUUACUGUUAUAUAAAUUCAUGAUUUAAAAUAUUUUUUACAUAAAUUUUAUUAUUUA